rnacentral:lncRNA from 10 species
GUGAUUUUAUGUUCCCUGGAAUUCCCAACACUUAAAAAAUGGAGAAUUCUCCUGACUCCCUGUUCCACUCACCAUCCCUGGCCCUAGGCAAGCAAGAGGAACUGGAUUUUCAUGGUUUCCACCCAACGAUGGUAGUCUCUAUGGCCUGACCAGUUGAGGAGGUGCAAGGAGGCUGAGGGUAAAAUCCAGAAGGCUGAAGAACUAUGAUGGAGUGACCAGACGUCCCUCUCAAAACUCAAGGGAAAUCUAGUGGGGCAUGGUGGCACAUGCCUGUAGUCCCAGCUACUCGGUGGGCUUAGGCAUGAGGAUCGCUUGAGCCCAGGAGUUCUGAGCUGUAGUGAGCUAUGACCAUCAGAUGUCUGCAUUAAGUUCAGCAUCAAUAUGGUGACCUCCCGGGAGUGGGGACCACCAGGUUGCCUAAGGAAGGGUGAACAGGCCCAGGUCUGAAACGGAACAGGUCAAAACUCCCAUGCUAAUCAGUAGUGGGACCGUGCCUGUGAAUAGCCACUGCACUUCAGCCUGGGCAACAUGGCCAGACCUCAUCUCAAAACAACAACAACAACAACAACAAAAAAAAAAAAAACCCUCUAGGGAAAUCUAGGUGAGAGGAAUGCAGAAUAUUUAAGAAAAGUACCUGAAGAUCUGAUUUGCAAACUGAUACAUUCAAGGAUAAGAUUGUUUACAUAGCAGAGGGAUUACAAUGGGUCCUAGGGACACGAACAAACACAUUUUCAAGGAUUUGCUUAUAACUUUUUAAAUAAUAAAAAAAGAAAUGAAAAGCUAAAAUGUUAUAAGCCGCUGGAUGAUUUUCAAACAUGGAAGUUUCCAUUCCUAUUUAUUUUUAAUGUUCAUGUCACUGGAUAAGAACGGAUCAGGCUGUAAGAUACAAUCCCAGCGUCCUGACCAAGCAGGACAUAGGACUACCUCAGUCUCACCAAUCUCUCUGCUUCAUGGCCCAGCCCCCACCCUCCUGCCAAAUCCCACCUUACUCAAACAGCACCCAGUCAUUGUCUUUUUCACACAAGCAGAAUAUCAAAAUGAAAGCCUCACAGGACAAAUGCCCCUCAUACUCUUGGGGACAGUAAGGAAGGUACAUCUUUCAGCAUGUAUUUAUGCGGGAGAACCCUCCUGACUCUUCAUCACCUUUGACUCUCACCUUCUCAGGGGAGGGUUUUCUCCUUUGCUCUAACCCCACAUGUCUCACCCUGCACUUGCUUUCUUUUUUUGCAAAAAGAAAAAAGGUCACCACUGAUUAGACAAAGGAGCAAGAAAUCAUCUGCAUUUCACAGAAAAACUUACAUUCAGCAACUCUCUUUUUCUGAUCAGGACAUCUUUGAUGAUCAUUUCCUGCAGAACUGUGCUAGGAAAGGCCCUGGGAAUUUAUUGUCCUUGUCUUUGACCUUGUUUUAUUAAAGGACUGCUAGAGGUGGAGCAAUAAAGGUAAGGGAACUCCUGAGGCUAUAUAAAACAUAUUUAUAAGUAGGCAUUUCUAGGCAGCAUAUCACAAGCUGGCAGGCUGAAGCUGGUGUAAGUCUUUCUUUUCAGCACAUUCACCAUUCCACGUAAAAUCCCUGAAAAGUAUUUGCUAACAUGUUGCUAUCAAAAAGAUGCUAUGUACCUCAAUUAGACUAAUGUUUUCUAAAAAUAUUUGCACCAAAUGAAUUCCUUCGUGUGGGCAAGAAUCUUUUAGAAGGGCAUUUAUUGGGUUUUUGUCUGCUUGUGAAAGUAACAGAAGCUCAAUUUUAGAAAAGCCCCAAAACCAUGAGAAGGAAAAUAAAAAUCAUAUGUUAUUCCACCUAACAGACACAACCAACGUUAACAUUUUGGGGUAUUUCCUUUCAGCAGUGGGAGAGAAGAGAGAGUUACCACAUUUGGGAUCAUAUUAUAUUAUAUAUGUAUUUUUUAUAUCUUGUUUUCAUUUAACACUACAUCAUUGAUUUAACUUUCAACAAAUAUUAAUGAGCUAUUAUAAAUCAGAACCAAGCCUGUCUCUAAAUAUUAUGAGCAUUUUCCAAUGAUACAACAUAGGCUCCAAAACAUGAUUUUUAAAAGAUAUACAAAGUUCAAAAAGUGUGCUGUUGUAUAACAUAAUAAAAUCAUGUUCCAGUUCUUGAACAUACAAGUUAUUUCUUUUUUGUGAUAGUUUUAUUAAAGUAUAAUAAACUGCACCUAUUAAAAGUGUGCAGUUUCGUAGGUUUUGACCUAUGAAUGUAGCUGUGAAACCAUCAUCACAAUCAAGAUAAUGAACACACGCAUCACCCCCAGGAGUUUCCUUGUGCUUAUUGGUAAUCCCCCUCUCAGCCCUGCCCUGCCCUGACCCCCAUCUCUAGGCGUCUGAUCUGUUUUCUGUUGCUGUGGAUUAGUUUGAAUUUUGUAGACAAUUUAACAAAUGGAAUAAUACACUACAUAUUCUCUUUUGUCUGGCUUGUUUCACUCACCAUAAUUAUUUUGAGAUUCAUCAUGCUGCUGUGCAAUCAAUACUUUAUUCCUUUUUAUUGUUAAUUAGUAUUCCAUUGUAUGGAUAUACCACAAUUUGUUUAUCCAUUCAUCUGUUGAUGUAUGUUGUUUCAAUUUUUUAUUAUUA